CUAUCCUUUAAGCUAAUCCAGAGAGUUUGGCAAGGGUGUUUGUUCGGCCACAAGUCUAUCUUGUUGCCUUGAAGCUCCUUGCCUACCUGGUAAGGAGUUUUAUUUAU
rfam:Pelosinus sp. TFO1, complete genome.